GGGGGCGCCUGGGGGCGGGGCGCCUCCCUGAGGGGCCGGGCGCCGGGCCCCGGAGUGGUCCCCGAGCGGCUGCGGGCGGGUCCCGACUGGGGCCCGCCGCUGGCUCGGAGACCGGCUUGGGCCCCGCGCGUCACCUCGCUGGCCCCGAGGCAGUUCCUGCGGGCGGUCGCGGCUGAGGGGCUGCGGCCUCGGCCGCCGCCUCCACGGCCCUCCGAGGCGCGGGCCUUACCUGGGGACGCGUGGGGCCGCCCGGGCUCCUUCUAGAGACCGACCCUCGCGUCCGGACGCGGUCCCCGGAGGCGGCUGGCCCCGGUGCCGCCCUCGCGUCCCGCCGAGCGCCCGCUGCGGCGGCCCGGGGAGGAUCGCGGGCCCGCCUCGUGGCCAAGAAGCGCGAGUGACCUGCAGGCCCGAGGCGGGAGAAGCAGCUCCUCGUCCGUUCAAGUUCUGUCCUGAGAUUGCAGCGAUUCGGUCCCACCUGCAGGCUGCACUUCUAGUUCUGCUUCUCUUGCUGUUUCCACCGCGUCUGCAGUAUCCUCCAGUGAAGUCUUGAACCCUCAACAUCAUCCAUGAGGAUUGGAGUCACCUUCCAAACUCAUGUCACUAUUGAUAUUUUGACCUCUUCUCGUGAGUCACGAAUGUUCUUAAUGGCAUCUAGAAUGGUGAAUCCUUUCCAGAAGGUUUUCAGUUUACUGUGCCCAGAUACAUCAGAGGAAUCACCAUCUAUGGCAGCUGUAGCCUUACAAAAUGUAUUUUUCUUUUUUUUUUUUUAAAGAUUGGCACCUGAGCUAACAACUGUUGCCAGUCUUCUUUUUUUUUUUUCUGCUUUAUCUUCCCAAACCCCCUGUACAUAGUUGUAUAUCUUAGUUGCAGGUCCUUCUAGUUGUGGGUUGUGGGACGCCGCCUCAAUGUGGCCUGACGAGCAGUGCCAUGUCCGCACCCAGGAUCUGAACCCUGGGCCGCCACAGCGGAGUGUGCAAACUUAACCACUCAGCCACGGAGCCAGCCCCUGUAUUUCUUAAAUAAUAAUAAGACUUGGAAGUCAAAAUUACUCCUUGGUCAGUGGGCUACGGAAUGGAUGUUGUGUUAGCAGGCAUGAAAACAACAUUGAUUUCGUUGUGUGUCUCCAUCAGAGCUCUUAGGUAACCAGGUGCCUUGUCAAUAAGCAGAACUAUUUUGAAAGGAAUCUUUUUUUUCUGAGCAGUAGGUCUCAACAGUGGGCUUAGAAUAUUCAGUAAACCAUAUUGUAAAUAAAUAGAUGUGCUGUCAUCCAGGCUUUGUUGUUCCAUUUAUAGAGCACAGGUGGAGUAGACAUAGCAUAAUUCUUAAGGACCCUAGAAUUUUCACAAUGGUAAAUGGACAUUGGCUUCAAUUUAAAGUCACCUGCUGCCUUAGCCCCUAACAAGAAAGUUGGCCUCUGCUUUGAAGCUUUAAGCAGGCAUUGACUUCUCUAGCUAUGAAAGUCCUGAUGGCGUUUCUUCCAGUAUAAGGCUGUUUUGUCUAUGUUGAGAAUCUGUUGUUUAGUGUAGCCCCUUCACUAAUUAUGUUAGCUAGAUCUUCUGGCUAACUUGUGCAGCUUCUACGUGAGCACUUGCUGCUUCACCUUGCACUUUUACGUUAUGGAGACAGCUUCUUUCCUUGAACCUCAUGGACUGACCACUACUAGCUUUGGACUUUUCUUCUGUAGCUUCCUCGUCCCUCUUGUUCUUCACAGAAUUGAAGAGAGUUAGGGCCUGCUCUGGGUUAGGUUUUGGCUUAAAGGGAUGUUGUGGCUGAUUUGAUGUUUUAUCCAGACCACUAAAACUUUCUCCAUAUCAGCAGUAAGGCUGGUUCACUUUCUUCUAUUUGUGUGUUCACUGGAGUAGCACUUUCAAUUACCUUCAAGAACUUUUCCUUUGCAUACAGCUUGGUUAACUGUUUGGUGCAAAAGGCCUAGUUUAAAGCUUGUUUUGGCAUUUGACAUGCCUUCCUCACUAAGCUGAAACCUUUCUAACUUUUGAUUUGAAGCAAGAGAUGUGUGACUCUUCCUUUCACGUGAACACUUAGAGGCCAUUGUAGGGUUAUUAAUUGCCUUAAUGUCAAUAGUGCUGUGUCUCAGGGAAUAGGCCCAAGGAGAGGGAGAGAGAUGGGGGACUAGCUGGUUGCUGGACCAGUGAGAACACACACAAGAUUUAUUAAGUUCACCAUCUUAUGUGGGCACAGUUCAAAACAAUUACUGUAGUAACAUCCAAGAUCGCUGAUCACAGACCACCAUAGCAAAUGUAAUAAUAAUGAAAAUGUUUGAAAUACUGCGAGAAUUACCAAAACGUGACACAGAGGCACAAAGUGAACAAACGCUGUUGGAAAAUGGUGCCAAAAAACUUGCUUGACACAGGGUUGCCACCAACCUUCAAUUUGUAAAAAAUGCAGUAUCUGUGAAGCACAAUAAAGUGAGGCACAAUAAAAUGAUGUAUGCCCGGUGAAUGAAGAAGCUAUUUCUUAAGUGGAGAAUUCACAGAGAAAGGAAAACAAUGUGUAGAUCCUAAUUAGUGAUAUUAUUUGGUGUUAGUUUUUGUUUUAGUUGAAGAGUCCCAAUGGAAGAUGAAAAAGAAGAAUAAUAUGCUGUUGUGAUGGGCAAUGGGUGGCAGUGCAGGAGUGGGCUGGUUUUCUGGGGAUACUCACGAUUUAUUCCCGAGUGUAUUGAUGCCAUUUGGUAUUGGAGGUCAUUUUCGUUUUUGUUUUUGUUUUGUGAGGAAGAUUUGCCCUGAGCUAACGUCUGUGCCACUCGUCCUCUAUUUUGUAUAUGGGAUAUCUCCACAGCAUGGCUGACGAGUGGAGUAGGCCUGUGCCCGGCAUACAAACUUGUGAACCCAGGCUGCUGAAACAGAAUACCUGGAACUUUUAACCACUCAGCCACGGGGCUGGCCCCAAUGGCGGUUUUGACUUCUUAGAUGAAAGUACACAAUGCUAAGUGGGAAGAUUUCUGAAUGCUCUUGAUUUUACUUAUAAUAAUUGCUACUAACCAUCAGGAAAGACCACAUUUAUUUCUAGGGGGCAGCUAAUAACAAUGUAGCACAAUGCUCUAAUGUCACUACCUAUUAAAAAACAAACGGGCAGUAAAUCAGACUUAGCUCAGGGUGAAAUUACAUAUGCUUCUAAUGUUUUUUGUUCUAAAGGGUUGUGAUUUUUGCUAGUAUUUAUGCUUUGGCGCAAGUAUUAAUGUUAGGCUUUAUAAACAGUGUGUAUAGUUGUGUGCAUGUGUGAAGUUAGCCUUGAUUGCUGUAAAGUAUGUAAAUGCAUUUCAGUAAAUGAUCC
ensembl:lncRNA